AACAAGGCGUACCUGCGGACCUGCGGAAGGAUCAUUAUUGAAUAAACUUGGUUGGGCUGUUGCUGGCUCCUUGGAGCAUGUGCACGCCUAGCACCAAUUUUUACCACCUGUGCACCAUUUGUGGACCUGGAUACCUCUCGAGGAAACUCGGUUGGAGGACUGCUGUGUGAAAGCCAGCUUUCCUUACAUUUCCGGUUCAUCUUUUCACAUACCCCAUACGAAUGUAUCAGACUGUUGUUU
rnacentral:misc_RNA from 1 species